rnacentral:tRNA from 3 species
GGGCAGGUGUCCGAGUGGUUAAAGGAGGCGGGCUGUAAACCCGUUGCGUCAGCUACGUAGGUUCGAAUCCUACCCUGCCCA